GUUUUAGUAGUUUAAAGCAAAACUUUGGUCUUGUAAAUCAAAAUUAAGGAAUUUCCUUCUAAAACU
rnacentral:tRNA from 1 species